AGCAGCCGCGGUAAUUCCAGCUCCAAUAGCGUAUAUUAAAGUUGUUGCAGUUAAAAAGCUCGUAGUUGAAUUUCGGGACCAAUUUGUUGGUCGUGCCUCGGUACGUACUGAUAUUAUUGGUUUCUCCCUUCUGAAGAACCAUGAUGCCAUUAAUUUGGUGUCGUGGGGAAUCAGGACUGUUACUUUGAAAAAAUUAGAGUGUUUAAAGCAGGCUUUCGCUUGAAUACAUUAGCAUGGAAUAAUGAAAUAGGACGUUUGAUUCUAUUUUGUUGGUUUCUAGGAUCGACGUAAUGAUUAAUAGGGAUAGUUGGGGGCAUUAGUAUUCAAUUGUCAGAGGUGAAAUUCUUGGAUUUAUUGAAGACUAACUACUGCGAAAGCAUUUGCCAAGGAUGUUUUCAUUAAUCAAGAACGAAAGUUAGGGGAUCGAAGACGAUCAGAUACCGUCGUAGUCUUAACCAUAAACUAUGCCGACUAGGGAUCGGAUGAUGUUAAUUUUUAAUGACUCAUUCGGCGCCUUACG
rnacentral:rRNA from 1 species